GUCGAGAAUUUUUCACAAUGGGCGCAAGCCUGAUGGAGCGACGCCGCGUGGGGGAUGAAUGGCUUCGGCCCGUAAACCCCUGUCAUUCGCGAUCAAACCUCGUUAUUUAAAAGAUGACGAGCUGAUAGUAGCGGAAGAGGAAGGGACGGCUAACUCUGUGCCAGCAGCCGCGGUAAUACAGAGGUCCCAAGCGUUGUUCGGAUUCACUGGGCGUAAAGGGUGCGUAGGUGGUGAGGUAAGUCGGAUGUGAAAUCUCGGAGCUCAACUCCGAAAUGGCAUUGGAAACUACCUUGCUCGAGGAUUGGAGGGGGGACUGGAAUUCUCGGUGUAGCAGUGAAAUGCGUAGAUAUCGAGAGGAACACCAGUGGCGAAGGCGAGUCCCUGGACAACUCCUGACACUGAGGCACGAAAGCUAGGGGAGCAAACAGGAUUAGAAACCCCAGUAGUCC
rnacentral:rRNA from 1 species